rnacentral:rRNA from 1 species
AUUGAACGCUGGCGGCAGGCCUAACACAUGCAAGUCGGACGGUAGCACAGAGGAGCUUGCUCCUUGGGUGACGAGUGGCGGACGGGUGAGUAAUGUCUGGGGAUCUGCCCGAUAGAGGGGGAUAACCACUGGAAACGGUGGCUAAUACCGCAUAACGUCGCAAGACCAAAGAGGGGGACCUUCGGGCCUCUCACUAUCGGAUGAACCCAGAUGGGAUUAGCUAGUAGGCGGGGUAAUGGCCAACCUAGGCGACGAUCCCUAGCUGGUCGGAGGGGAUGGCCAGCCACACGGGAACUGAGACACGGUCCAGACUCCUGAGGGAGGAAGCAGUGGGGAAUAUUGCACAAUGGGCGCAAGGCUGAUGCAGCCAUGCCGCGUGUAUGAAGAAGGCCUUCGGGUUGUAAAGUACUUUCAGCGGGGAGGAAGGCGAUGCGGUUAAUAACCGCGUCGAUUGACGUUACCCGCAGAAGAAGCACCGGCUAACUCCGUGCCAGCCGCCGCAGUAA